rnacentral:misc_RNA from 1 species
GAUGAAGAACGUAGCGAAAUGCGAUAAGUAAUGUGAAUUGCAGAAUUCAGUGAAUCAUCGAAUCUUUGAACGCACAUUGCGCCCGCCAGUAUUCUGGCGGGCAUGCCUUUUCGAGCGUCAUUUCAACCAUCAAGCCCCCGGCUUGUGUUGGGGACCUGCGGCUGCCGCAGGCCCUGAAAAGCAGUGGCGGGCUCGCUGUCACACCGAGCGUAGUAGCAUACAUCUCGCUCUGGGCGUGCUGCGGGUUCCGGCCGUUAAACCACCUUCAUAACCCAAGGUUGACCUCGGAUCAGGUAGGAAGACCCGCUGAACUUAAGCAUAUCAAUAAGCGGAGGA